rnacentral:rRNA from 1 species
AUGUCGGGGCGCGGCAAGGGCGGCAAGGGGCUGGGCAAGGGCGGCGCCAAGCGCCACCGGAAGGUGCUCCGCGACAACAUCCAGGGCAUCACCAAGCCGGCGAUCCGGAGGCUGGCCAGGAGGGGCGGCGUGAAGCGCAUCUCCGGCCUCAUCUACGAGGAGACACGCGGCGUGCUCAAGAUCUUCCUCGAGAACGUCAUCCGCGACGCCGUCACCUACACAGAGCACGCCCGCCGCAAGACCGUCACCGCCAUGGACGUCGUCUACGCGCUCAAGCGCCAGGGCCGCACCCUCUACGGCUUCGGAGGCUAG